ensembl:lncRNA
UAAAACUCACAGCUGUAAUCUACGUCAUCAGAGUGCUCAGCUGAACACUGCAUGCUGGAAACACUUGCUUUGUUAUUUUAACAAAAUCAUAACCAAUCUUUGUUAAACAUAAACACCAAACUUGUUAUUUAAUGGAUUACGCAAUGCAGUUAGCUUUUAACAGCUAGGGCCGCUAUUUCUUGUCCUGGAAUCGCGUUUAACUGACAGGUUAAAGUCUGCUUGAAAGAGCAGCUAACCUAGCUAAGCUGCUAAUGUUAGCCAUCAAGUUAGUCCCAGAUGAGUUUUCUAAUGGAGCCGUCUUUGUCUGGAGAAGUAAAAGAAUCUACUACAAUUUGUUUCGGGACAAACUGGAUCACUCAGAGUGCCAAUGCGGCAAUUGUUUGCUUGCCAAGGAUUAUAGUCUUGAGGUGGCUUCAUUGAUCAUGCAGGUCACCAGCCUACGUAAGAAACUGGGAAAAACGCAAAGCGGAAUGUUUGCGUUUUCUACACCGGUGGCUGGAUGGCGUUCACGCAUAUUGGUGCAUCUCUGUCUUGUCAUUUGUCAUUAUCCGACUGGCCGGUGUUGCCCGGAGUUUGUUCGUCAAGGGAGCCAUCUCCUGUCUCUCUUCUCCCAUAUGAUAGCGGAGUCAAAGGAGCACAGCAAGAGGAGUAUGACAAACAACGAUGGUCGUAUCUCACAAGCCGUGGAGGCCGAAGAAAGCGACCUCACGCAAAGUAGUCUGCACUCCCAACGAGAGGCCUGGAGCGGAUAUAAAAAACAAAUAGUUACUUCCCUGGAGCCUGAUCUUCCAGCACUUUCGUCGCUGGGGGUAUCUGUGCCUACUCCUACUCCUUCCUGUACGAUUUUCGAAGUCGACGUCGGCAACCUUCCGUCCCUGCUCUGGAUCAAGCGGGGAUUCUCCAUCUGUCGAGGCCUGCACCAUCCUGUAAAGAGUGAGAGUGGGCAGAUUUCCCUGACCUUCUCGUCAGCCGUGAUUUUGGGCAGCUCCAUGAUAAUAAUUGUGACCGUUCCUGAUUCAAAAACAAUGUCCUAUCCAGGAGCGAGAGUAAAUUACAUUACUAAGCUGCUCCUGAAUGUACUACGCCAGGACAUGGACACCGAUUUUAUCAUAGUCCAUUGGGGUUUUAAUGACAUUAUGAAGGGCAGCUCUGAAUAGUUGAAACUGGAUUUUUAGUGUCUGCUAGACUCUAAUAAAAUACCCAUCAUAUCUGGCUAUGUGAUUAUUGCAGCUCAAUGGGUAUAACUUUUGUUGACAAUUUCGAUACCUUUUGGAAACAAAACACGUUUUAUAAGGAGGAUGGGAUCCACUCAAGUCAUUUGAGUUCCUGGAUCCUUUCGCACAAUUAUAAGGCUGUGUUAAGACAAUGACUUAUCAAUGACCCAAGCCCAGUUAAUCCCUACCGUUAUGUCACUGAGUCAUCAUAAUGCUUUAGCAAAUGCACAUUAUACCAGCGGCAUUGGUAGACAAAAUUGGUAGACAAAAUGUGAAACGCAAGACAGACAUAACCAAAUGAAAAGGAAAAAGGAUCGGUGGCAGCUAGUAGACCGGCGACGACGACUGCCGAGCGCCACCCGAACAGAGAGAGGAGCCACCUUCGGUGGAAGUCGUGACACAUCUUUACUAAUGUUGCAGAAAUUUGCUUUAAAGCAGUAUCCAGAUCCAUUGGAUGUAGUGAUCACACUAUAGUAAC